rnacentral:rRNA from 1 species
CCCUUAGAUGUCCUGGGCUGCACGCGCGCUACACUGAUGUGUCCAGUAAGCACCUAACCUCUUCCGAAAGGAACGGGUAACCUUUGCAAAGCACAUCGUGAUGGGGAUAGAUUAUUGCAAUUAUUAGUCUUGAACGAGGAAUUCCUAGUAAGUACAGGUCAUCAACUUGUGUUGAUUACGUCCCUGCCCUUUGUACACACCGCCCGUCGCUCCUACUGAUUGAGUGUCUCGGUGAAUUCUUUGAUCUUCUGUCGAUUCAGUUCACUGAUCCGACGGUGGAAAGUUGAAUGAACUUCGUCACUUAGAGGAGGGAGAAGUCGUAACA